rnacentral:rRNA from 1 species
AUUGAACGCUGGCGGCAGGCCUAACACAUGCAAGUCGAACGAGAAGCGGACGGGUGAGUAAUGUCUGGGAAACUGCCUGAAGGAGGGGGAUAACUACUGGAAACGGUAGCUAAUACCGCAUACCAUCGGGUGUGCCCCGAUGGGAUUAGCUAGUAGGGGGGGUAAAGGCUCACAUGGGCGACGAUCCCUAGCUGGUCUGAGAGGAUGACCAGCCAAACUGGAAAUUAGACACGGUCCAGACUCCUACGUGAGGCAGCAGUUGGGAAUAUUGCACAAUGGGCGCAAGCCUGAUGCAGCCAUGCCGCGUGUAUGAAGAAGGCCUUCGGGUUGUAAAGUACUUUCAGCGGGGAGGCGUUACCCGCAGAAGAAGCACCGGCUAACUCCGGGCCAGCAGCCGCGGUAAUAC